rnacentral:rRNA from 1 species
GACGAACGCUGGCGGCGUGCUUAACACAUGCAAGUCGAACGGAAAGGCCCUGCUUUUGUGGGGUGCUCGAGUGGCGAACGGGUGAGUAACACGUGAGUAACCUGCCCUUGACUUUGGGAUAACUUCAGGAAACUGGGGCUAAUACCGGAUAGGAGCCCCUGCUGCAUGGUGGGGGUUGGAAAGUUUCGGCGGUUGGGGAUGGACUCGCGGCUUAUCAGCUUGUUGGUGGGGUAGUGGCUUACCAAGGCUUUGACGGGUAGCCGGCCUGAGAGGGUGACCGGCCACAUUGGGACUGAGAUACGGCCCAGACUCCUACGGGAGGCAGCAGUGGGGAAUAUUGCACAAUGGGCGGAAGCCUGAUGCAGCGACGCCGCGUGCGGGAUGACGGCCUUCGGGUUGUAAACCGCUUUCGCCUGUGACGAAGCGUGAGUGACGGUAAUGGGUAAAGAAGCACCGGCUAACUACGUG